UACGAAGGGGGCUAGCGUUGCUCGGAAUCACUGGGCGUAAAGGGUGCGUAGGCGGGUCUUUAAGUCAGGGGGUGAAAUCCUGGAGCUCAACUCCAGAACUGCCUUUGAUACUGAGGAUCUUGAGUUCGGGAGAGGUGAGUGGAACUGCGAGUGUAGAGGUGAAAUUCGUAGAUAUUCGCAAGAACACCAGUGGCGAAGGCGGCUCACUGGCCCGAUACUGACGCUGAGGCACGAAAGCGUGGGGAGCAAACAGGAUUAGAAACCCCUGG
rnacentral:rRNA from 1 species